GAUGAACGCUAGCGGCAGGCUUAAUACAUGCAAGUCGAACGGUAACAUGAGUAGCAAUACUUGAUGACGAGUGGCGCACGGGUGCGUAACGCGUAUGCAACUUACCUUCAACUGGAAGAUAGCCCCUCGAAAGAGGGAUUAAUAUUCCAUAACUUUAUGAUUUGGCAUCAAAUUAUAAUUAAAGAUCAGUCGGUUGAAGAUAGGCAUGCGUGACAUUAGCUAGUUGGUGAGGUAACGGCUCACCAAGGCUACGAUGUCUAGGGGAUCUGAGAGGACUAACCCCCACACUGGUACUGAGACACGGACCAGACUCCUACGGGAGGCAGCAGUAAGGAUAUUGGUCAAUGGAGGCAACUCUGAACCAGCCAUGCCGCGUGAAGGAUGAAGGCCCUAUGGGUUGUAAACUUCUUUUAUACGGGAAGAAGCCCUGAUACGUGUAUCAGGCUGACGGUACUGUAAGAUAAGGAUCGGCUAACUCCGUGCC
rnacentral:rRNA from 1 species